rnacentral:tRNA from 1 species
GUAUGGUUGGCUUAGUUGGUAGAGCAUGCAACUCUUGAUCUCAGGGUCAUGAGUUCAAGCCCCAUAUUGGGCA